AUGUCGCCCACGUGGCAGCUGCCAGCUUUGGGGCCACGAGGAGACCCGUGGGCUGGUUGUCGUGUUUCAGCGUCUCCAGCAUGUGGGCUCCCCGGGCCCUGGGAGCACAGCUGGGUCAGGUCUGCUUGCACCCCAGGAGGCAGCCGGGCCACCCCACCCGGGGGCCCACCACCCGGUGAGCAGCCGGGGGCCCUGGCUCGAGGCCGGUUGCUCCACACCGGGGUCCUCGGCGGCUCCAGGGUCCUCGGCGACUCGGUUCGGUUGCUGGCCAGCUGCCCCAGGGCCCAGCACAAGCACCACUGCUCCCCACCCCCCCGCGUCCCCCCGCGGGGAGCUACGGCCAGACCACCCCCAGGGGACCCAGACCCACAGCCCAGGCGUCCCCACCGCAUCCCUGAGCUGCGUCCCCAAGGGCGUCCCCUGAGCAAACCUCCAGGCCCUGGAGACCCCGAGAGCUGGGCAGGAGCCCCUGCUCCAAGGCCAGGCCCUCACAGGCUGGGGCCCCCUGGGGAGAAAUGCCUCCUGCGAGGGCGACCUACAGCGCCUUCAGCUGUGGCUGUGGUGUGGGGGUCUGGGGGCUGCAGGAAGGCUCCCCACCCCGUCCUGUGCCCCUGUAGGUCGCUGACAGAUCCCAGGGGGCCCUACUGGCUGGAGCAUUGCCCCCUCCCCCUUCACCCACCAAUGCCCUUAGCUAAGGGAGCUCCCAGGCGGGGCCAGAGCAGGGGGCGUGGAAGGGGUGCUGGGGGCACUCACCCCUCUGGGUCCUGCUCAGGGGCCCCGACUUUGCCGUCGGUCCUGACGAGGCCCUGGAAGCGAGUUGGCAGGUGUGUGCUCCGUGGCCUGCACAGGGCAGAGGACCACACCGGCCAGGGCACCCCACCUGCUGGGGGCUCACGGGGAGACUGGGCAACCCCUGGGGCUGAGUCUGGACCCCGGUGGCCCGAGGAGGGCCCUGCUCUUGAGCCUCCAUGCAGCAGGCUGAGCACAGGGCGGGCGACGAAGCGGUGCCACGGGGAGCGACCUGCUGUCUGCUGCCGGGAGGGGGGGGCUUCCCCUGACCUGGUCUCUCCCAGGUGUGCAGGGUGGGGUGGGGCGAGACGGGUGGGGGCACACGGUCAUCUGCACAGAGGGCCCCCGGCCGCAGGGCACGAGGACAGGAUGAGCCCUGCACUGGCCGGCGGGGCACGAGGCAUCAGGGCCCUGCUCCACCUGGGCCUCCUUGCCCAGCUGAUGCCCCUGCUCAGUCCCCCCGCCCCAGCACCCACGGGCCCUUGCCGUAGGGGCUCCACCUCGUGCCCUGUCUUCUUCACCUCCCUUCCUGGGGGCCGGGCUCAGGGCCUGCACAUACCUGGGCCAAGGAAGCCGAGCCCACCUCCUGCAGCACCAGCAGAACCACCAGCCAGGCGACCAGGAAGAGCCUGA
rnacentral:lncRNA from 12 species